UACGUAGGUGGCAAGCGUUGUCCGGAAUUAUUGGGCGUAAAGCGCGCGCAGGCGGCCUUUUAAGUCUGAUGUGAAAGCCCACGGCUCAACCGUGGAAGGUCAUUGGAAACUGAAAGGCUUGAGUACAGAAGAGGAAAGCGGAAUUCCACGUGUAGCGGUGAAAUGCGUAGAGAAUGUGGAGGAACACCAGUGGCGAAGGCGGCUUGCCAGAAUGCGCUCGACGGUGAGGGAUGAAAGCUGGGGGAGCAAACCGG
rnacentral:rRNA from 1 species